ACACAGUACGUGUGUGGGGUUCUGUACGAUCGAACAAGGGCCAAUGGGGGGAAGAAACCCUAGCUUCAUCUAAUUCACAAGGAAAACUAUAAAGAUUCAAGGAAAUUGAAAGCAUAAUCAGGAAAUUGCAAGCUCUUAACUUGUCCAUUGAAAGGGCGUAAAGGAAGAGGGCUCAGGUUCUAAGAAGUCGGAAAGCUCACAAGACAAAGGUAAAUCCUCAUCUUAGACUAUUUGGCGAGUUGAAGCGAGCACGUGAUCACCACUCAACAUACCAAGCGCUUCCGCUAGUUGCUUUAAUGUUUUCGGUCAAAUAAUUGUGAAAGUUUGUCCAAACUUGAUGUUUUCUUUGGAUUUUUCAUUGCGUCUAGUCGUAAGGGUCAUGGAAUAGUUUGUAUGAAAGUUGUAUGAAACAGGGAUAUGCUCAUUGUACGAAUGGGUCAUGUCCGAUUUUUGUCAAAAAUAUGAAUUUAACUUGUUAUUUCAAGUCUUAAAAUUAUCCUUGUAAAUGGUUUUAUAAGAACUAAAAAUGCGGGUCUUAUAAUAAAGAAAGCUCUUUCGGAUCGAUACGUCAUGUUAGUGUCAUCCUGUAGCUAUGUGGUAGGUAAACAAAAAAAUAUAUGUCAUUAACUAUAUGUUUUAUAUUAUAUUUUAUGUUUGGUAUUUCAGUUUUAGGUAUUGUUGUCCGCGAUAGUAAGGCAUCAUCUUAGUUUGAAAUGUUACAAUAGGACGGCUCCUCAAUUGUGUUGUUAUGCUCUCGGUGUUCUUGAUAAAGAGACGCAGAGGUUGAAGACCAUUAAGAUUGAAGCCAAUACGUUAUUGCCUCGGUUAGAGCUGCCUUGCUGAGUUAACUUGGUUAUUUAAUGGUGUGUUUUUUUCAUGGACCAUAUUUGCACUAAGCGCAGCUGCAAGCUUUCGUGUACUACUGUCACUGUUGUCCCAUUCUUCGAUUUGUUGCUGCUCAUCUGUUGAGGUGCAAUAGUACAAACAUGAAAGGGAGUGUGAUUAAGUUAUUUGGAAACUGCAGUAAGAUAAAGUUACCAGCCUUGAGGACCUGAUGGAUGGUGUGUUGUCAGCAGAUGACUUUGUAAAUGAAGAAUUGAGAUCUUUAGGGAAAGAUAAAGUAGCCACCCUUGAGGACCUGAUGGAUGUUAAAGUAUGUAUGCCAAAAGGCACUGGUGAAUAUGACAAGUUUUUUGCUGAUGGGGUGUACACUUGUGCUGGUUGUGGAACACCACUUUCUAAAUCAACCACCAAGUUCAACUCCGGGUGUGGUUGGCCUACUUUCUAUGAAGGUCUUCCCAGAGCAAUCACCCGCACUGCCGACCCGGAUGGAAGGAGGACCAGAAUUACUUGCACUGCUUGUGGAGGACACUUAGGAAAUGUGUUUAAAGGUGAGGGGUUCAAGACACCUACAGAUGAAAGGCAUUGUGUUAAAGGCAUUGUGUUAAUAGUAUCUCCAUCAAGUUUACUUCUGAAGGCAUUUCAGCUUCUCUUUGAUAUGUUCUAAUCCGCAUUGUUGUGAGACAACAAGUAAUAAUUUCAAGCAGGAGCUCGGUGAAUUAGCAGUUAGUUACGGGAUUCGUCUGCAUGUAGACCUUUGUCUUGGUGGUUUUGUUUUGCCUUUUGCACGUAAACUCUGGUACCCAAUUCCACCAUUUGAUUUUACAGUUCAAGGAGUGACCUCUAUAUCAGCAAAUGUUCAUAAGUACGCGACAUAUUCAUAAAUUGCCUACAACUUUUUCAGGUUUUGCCAUUACAUCUUAUUGGUUAUAACAGUUAUGAUUGACUUUUGUGUGGAUUGAUUAGGAUAAUUAAAUUUGUAAAUGGUGCUAGAAGUUUAAUUUUGCUUAGAAGAGCGAGGGGAGAAGCAUGGAGAUUCUCUAACUUGUGUUUCGAUUUUCUCUAAUAUGCAACUUUGAAUAAUAUUGUAAUACAUGGUAACAUGCUUUUAUUUUCAUGUAUCUAUUAUUUUCCAAAGGUUGGAUAUAAAGUUCGGCUUGAAGGAAUGAAAGGAAGGGAUACCCAUCUUCUAUUUUUCACUACUGGCAUUUUGCUUAGAAGAUUACUUCUAGAUAGGAGCUUGCAAGGUGUAACUCGUGCUAUGAGAUCCAUGAACGAGGGACAAAUGAAGGUAACCAGAAGAAACAUGUAAAAGUUAAUGUCAAGAUGGGUUGGCUGGUCGAUAUGUCAAAAUGGGUUCAAGUUGAAUCGGGUCAUUUAUAUAAAUUACCAAAAUGCCACUGUGUGCUCAUAUCUGAAACAACACAGUUGCCUUUCAGUUUAACAACCCUCUACCACCACCUCAGAUUCAGUUCCACCA